GAUGAACGCUGGCGGCGUGCCUAAUACAUGCAAGUCGAGCGAACAGAUGAGGAGCUUGCUCCUCUGACGUUAGCGGCGGACGGGUGAGUAACACGUGGAUAACCUACCUAUAAGACUGGGAUAACUUCGGGAAACCGGAGCUAAUACCGGAUAAUAUAUUGAACCGCAUGGUUCAAUAGUGAAAGACGGUUUUGCUGUCACUUAUAGAUGGAUCCGCGCCGCAUUAGCUAGUUGGUAAGGUAACGGCUUACCAAGGCGACGAUGCGUAGCCGACCUGAGAGGGUGAUCGGCCACACUGGAACUGAGACACGGUCCAGACUCCUACGGGAGGCGGCAGUAGGGAAUCUUCCGCAAUGGGCGAAAGCUUGACGGAGCAACGCCGCGUGAGUGAUGAAGGUCUUCGGAUCGUAAAACUCUGUUAUUAGGGAAGAACAAAUGUGUAAGUAACUAUGCACGUCUUGACGGUACCUAAUCAGAAAGCCACGGCUAACUACGUG
rnacentral:rRNA from 1 species